AACGAACGCUGGCGGCAUGCCUAACACAUGCAAGUCGAACGAAGCCUUCGGGCUUAGUGGCGCACGGGUGCGUAACACGUGGGAAUCUGCCCUUCGGUUCGGAAUAACAGUUAGAAAUGACUGCUAAUACCGGAUGAUGACGUAAGUCCAAAGAUUUAUCGCCGAAGGAUGAGCCCGCGUAGGAUUAGGUAGUUGGUAGGGUAAUGGCCUACCAAGCCGACGAUCCUUAGCUGGUCUGAGAGGAUGAUCAGCCACACUGGGACUGAGACACGGCCCAGACUCCUACGGGAGGCAGCAGUGGGGAAUAUUGGACAAUGGGCGAAAGCCUGAUCCAGCAAUGCCGCGUGAGUGAUGAAGGCCUUAGGGUUGUAAAGACUCUUUUACCUAGGGAUGAUAAUGACAGUACCUGGAGAAUAAGACUCCGGCUAACUCCGUG
rnacentral:rRNA from 1 species